GGUGUAGUGGAUAGAGCACCCGACUGGGGUUCAGGUGAUCUGGGUUCUAUUCCCAGCUCUACCA
rnacentral:tRNA from 1 species